AGUUGUCCUGCCAAGGGCAUAGCUGGGUAGCUAUGUACGGACGAGAUAAACGCUGAAAGCAUCUAAGCGUGAAACUCCCCCUAAGAUGAGAUCUCUCAUUCGAAAGAAGUAAGGACCCAGAGAGACGAUCUGGUUGAUAGGCGCGAGGUGGAAGUGCAGUAAUGUAUGGAGCUGACGCGUACUAAUAGUCCGAGGGCUUGACCUA
rnacentral:rRNA from 1 species